ACUUUAAAGGUGUUUAACAUAUUAUAAUUUCAUUAUAAAGUAGACGUCGGUCUUAAGGUA
rnacentral:tRNA from 1 species